UGGGCGAUGAAAUAAUCUGUAUAACAAACCCCCAUGACAAGGAUUUUACCUAUGUCGCAAACCUGCACUUGUACCCUUGAACCUAAAAUAAAAGUAAAAAAAAAAAAAAAAAAAAAAAAAGACAAAGGGGAAGGGCCUCCUGGUGAGUCAGCCUGAGUCACCGGGUGGGAAUGUGAAGUAUUCAUUUGGAGAAGGGCUCUGGCGUUGCCUCAAGUCAUCAGUGUUCUCAGUAGAUAAUGCACUGAAAUCUCUCCACAUAUACGUGGCCUUAGUAUGUCUGAGUUGGAGAAUAUCAAGUCUCCAGCCAGCCUGGGAGCAUAGGAUGCCAGGGCUACACAAAGCUGAACAUCAAGCUGCACUGAGUGUGGUGCACAGGGGGUGGGGCAGGGUCACCCCACAAUAUUGGACUUGGGGCAUGAGUGGGGGAGGUUUGAAGAUCCUAGACAGAAGGUGUCAUGGUCCUGUGAAGACAGAAGUAAUGUUUUGCUAGUAAUAAGUGAUUGUUUCUUCCUCCUCUUUGCCUUGGCAUGUGACAGCUUGCUGGUCCCCCGGGCAAAUGCAGCCGCUAGGGAGGGGCACCCGCAUGGAGGCGGUAUGCAGCUGGCUGCAGAACAAACAGCAGAGAAGAUGUCUGAGUUGGAGGACAUUGAGGCUCCACCAGCCCUAGGGGGCACAGGAGACCAGGGACACACGAAACAGAACAGCUGCCUGACCUCUGCCCUGGGUCACACUGGCAUGGGCUCCAUCUGUUCCUGAAUGAGGAGAGAGGCUGAAGUGAGAGCCUGACAUUUGUCCUUCUCUCAUCUUUCUGUCUAGCCUGUCCCUUAAUCGGGCUCUGAUAAGAGGCGACAGGAGACUCAUAUAAGCACCAGCUUUGGGUCCUUGAUGAUAGGUUAUUGUAAAUGACAUGGAGGCCCUUUACAAAGAAUGGAUAAAUUGCUCCCAACAGAGGCAGGAGGAAUGCUUGAAGCCAGGAGUCUGAGACCCCAUCUCUACCAAAAAUGUAAUCAUUAGCCAGGUGCUGUGGCAAGCACCUGUAGUCCCA
rnacentral:lncRNA from 10 species